UACGGAGGGUGCGAGCGUUAUCCGGAAUGAUUGGGCGUAAAGCGUCCGCAGGUGGCAGUUCAAGUCUGCUGUCAAAGACCGGGGCUUAACUUCGGAAAGGCAGUGGAAACUGAACAGCUAGAGUAUGGUAGGGGCAGAGGGAAUUCCUGGUGUAGCGGUGAAAUGCGUAGAGAUCAGGAAGAACAUCGGUGGCGAAGGCGCUGCUCUGGGCCGAAACUGACGCUGAGGAGCGAAAGCGUGGGUAGCAAACAGG
rnacentral:rRNA from 1 species